GAUGAACGCUGGCGGCGUGCCUAAUACAUGCAAGUCGAGCGAACAGACGAGGAGCUUGCUCCUCUGACGUUAGCGGCGGACGGGUGAGUAACACGUGGAUAACCUACCUAUCAGACUGGGAUAACUUCGGGAAACCGGAGCUAAUACCGGAUAAUAUAUUGAACCGCAUUGUUCCAUCGUGAAAGACGGUUUUGCUGUCACUUAUAGCUGGAUCCGCGCCGCAUUAGCUAGUUGGUAAGGUAACUGCUUAGCCAGGCAAGGAUGCUUAGCCGACCUGAGAGGGUGAUCGGCCACACGGGAACUGAGACACGGUCCAGACUCCGACGGGAGGAAGCAGUAGGGAAUCUUACGCGAUGGGCGAAAGCUGAACAGAGCAAAGCCGCGGGAGGGAUGAAGGUGUUCGGAUCGGAAAACUCUGUUAUUAGGGAAGAACAAAUGUGUAAGUAACUAUGCACAUCUUGACGGUACCUAAUCAGAAAGCCACGGCUAACUACGUG
rnacentral:rRNA from 1 species